rnacentral:lncRNA from 1 species
AUCAGGAUACCUUGAGGCAUUUGCAUGAUUCGUUCAAGACUGUUGGGUGAUGAACUGAUUGUGGAUUUGGGGGGUUUUGUGUUUUUGAUGCUGUGUAUGUAUGUAUCAUAGUUUGUGUUUUUGAAACGAUUUGAGUUGCAGAGUUGGAAGGAGAUGAUGAACUGAUUCUGGCUAGUCUUUGGCAAUGAAAUCUUGGUAUUACAAGGCGUUCUGGUGAUUUUCUCAAAUCCAGCUCAAUACGUUUUUAACUUCGGUUCAGUACUUGGUCAGAGACGGAACAAGAGGGAGCCACGAAGAGUCCUGAUUCUCUCAUUCCGGACCUUCACUAGUCCCGAGUAUAUAGAGGUUUUCAUCAUUAGAGUUGCAGAGUUGGAAGGAGAUGAUGAGCUAUUUCUGGAUGGUCUUUGGCAAUGAAACAAGGCGUGCGGAUGCUGCUUUCAGUCUCAGACUGGUGUUCUUGUGAUUUUCUCGAAUCCAGAUCAAUACAUUUUUUUAAUUUCGGUGCAGUGCUUGACCAGUGACGAGACAAGAGGAAGCGACGAAGAGUAGUCCCGAUUUCUCUCAUUCCAAACCUUCCCUAAUCCCGAGUAUUAAUUCAUGUAAAAUUUUAAAAAAGAUCAUCAUUACACCAAGUAAU